rnacentral:rRNA from 1 species
AACCUGGUGGACUGUAUGCUUGGCGUUUUCUGCUCCAUGAACACUUAAAUAGCCGCAGUACCCUGACUGUGCAAAGGUAGCAUAAUCAGUUGGCUUAUAAUUGAAGUCUGGUAUGAAGGAAUAAAUGGGUAGUUUCUGUCUUUAGGGGAACGACGAACUUACUCAGCAAGUGAAAAUACUUGUAUAUUAACAAAAGACGAGAAGACCCUAGAAAUUUUUUUAAAACAUGUAGUUGUUUCCAUGUCUUAUUUUGCUGGGGCGGCAGAGUAACAUGCAACUUGCUUGCGAUGUUAGAAGUUUAUUUACAGAAAAGAUAUAAUUACUCUAGGGAUAACAGCAUAAUUUAUAAGAGUUUGUGACCUCGAUGUUGGACUAGGGACAGCAGUAUUCAGAAGGUAUUGUGGCGUGUUCUGUUCGAACAACAACCCCUACAUG